AUCCAGGUGACGAGCCCCAAAUAGGACGAAACGCGCGUCCUGCAU
rnacentral:hammerhead_ribozyme from 1 species